UCUUUAGAUUUAAUUUAAGAUCAGGCCUGCCCAUUGAUUUUAUAAUUAAAAGGCUGCGGUAUUUUAACUGUACGAAGGUAGCAUAAUCAUUUGUCUUUUAAUUGAAGGCUAGAAUGAAUGGUUUGAUGAAAAAUAUUCUUUCUUUUUUUAAUUAAUUUGAAUUUGACUUUUUAGUUAAAAGGCUAAAAUUUUUUUAUAGGACGAGAAGACCCUAUAGAAGUUGACUUUAUUAAUUAUUUUUUAUUUUUUGUUUUUAAAAUAUUUUUUAUGAAAUAAAGUUUUGUUGGGGUGACAUUAAAAUUUAUUUAACUUUUAAUUUUUUUUUCAUUAAUUUAUGUUUUAUUGAUCUUGAAUUUUAGAUUAUAAGUUUAACUUACCUUAGGGAUAACAGCGUAAUUUUUUUGGAGAGAUCAUAUC
rnacentral:rRNA from 1 species